GGUUCUCCCCGAAAGCUAUUUAGGUAGCGCCUCGUGAAUUCAUCUCCGGGGGUAGAGCACUGUUUCGGCAAGGGGGUCAUCCCGACUUACCAACCCGAUGCAAACUGCGAAUACCGGAGAAUGUUAUCACGGGAGACACACGGCGGGUGCUAACGUCCGUCGUGAAGAGGGAAACAACCCAGACCGCCAGCUAAGGUCCCAAAGUCAUGGUUAAGUGGGAAACGAUGUGGGAAGGCCCAGACAGCCAGGAUGUUG
rnacentral:rRNA from 1 species